GGGACCCCGGACGCGCCGGCGGCGGCCGAGAGUGAGGGUGGCGAGCGCGCGGACGCUGCCGGGCGUGCUGGUUGCCCGCGCUCUUGGGCGCGGCCGGGACGCCCCGGACGCCG
rnacentral:misc_RNA from 1 species